GGAUGACCUGUGGCUGGGGGUGAAAGGCCAAUCAAACCGGGAGAUAGCUGGUUCUCCCCGAAAGCUAUUUAGGUAGCGCCUCGGAUGAAUACCUACGGGGGUAGAGCACUGUUUGGGCUAGGGGGUCAUCCCGACUUACCAACCCCAUGCAAACUCCGAAUACCGUAGAGUACUAUCCGGGAGACACACGGCGGGUGCUAACGUCCGUCGUGGAGAGGGAUACAACCCAGACCGCCAGCUAAGGUCCCAAAAUUAUUGCUAAGUGGGAAACGAUGUGGGAAGGCUAAGACAGCUAGGAGGUUGGCUUAGAAGCAGCCACCCUUUAAAGAAAGCGUAAUAGCUCACUAGUCGAGUCGGCCUGCGCGGAAGAUGUACCGGGGCUUAAGCCAUAUACCGAAGCUAUGGAUGCGUGUUUACACGCAUGGUAGAGGAGCGUUGUGUAAGUCUGUGAAGGUGUCCUGAGAGGGGUGCUGGAGAUAUCACAAGUGCGAAUGCUGACGUGAGUAACGAUAAUGCGGGUGAAAAACCCGCACGCCGAAAACC
rnacentral:rRNA from 1 species